rnacentral:rRNA from 1 species
UACGAAGGGUGCAAGCGUUACUCGGAAUUACUGGGCGUAAAGCGUGCGCAGGCGGUUUUGUAAGCCAGAUGUGAAAGCCCCGGGCUCAACCUGGGAAUGGCAUUUGGGACUGCAAGGCUGGAGUUUGGCAGAGGAGACUGGAAUUCCUGGUGUAGCAGUGAAAUGCGUAGAUAUCAGGAGGAACACCGAUGGCGAAGGCAGGUCUCUGGGCUGAAACUGACGCUCAUGCACGAAAGCGUGGGGAGCAAACAGG